AGAAUCAACGCUGGCGGCGUGCCUAACACAUGCAAGUCGAACGAGAAAGUGGAGCAAUCCAUGAGUAAAGUGGCGCACGGGUGAGUAACACGUGACUAACCUACCCUUGAGUGGGGGAGUAAACCUAGGGAAACCUGGGCUAAUACCGCAUAAUACCUUCGGGUCAAAGGAGCAAUUCGCUUAAGGAGGGGGUCGCGGCCGAUUAGUUAGUUGGCGGGGUAAUGGCCCACCAAGACUGUGAUCGGUA
rnacentral:rRNA from 1 species